GGGGAUAUAGCUCAGUUUGUAGAGUGCUUGCCUUGCGUGUACAAGGCUCUGGGUUCAAACCCCAGCACCCCCA
rnacentral:tRNA from 1 species